AUGGAGAAGCCGGCCGUGACCCGGCUGGAGUCCGGGGGGGACCUCCAGCCCCCCGGGGGGUCCCUGCGCCUCCUCUGCGGCGCCUCGGGGUUCGAUUUCGGGAGCUACGAAAUGUACUGGGUGCGCCAGAGACCCGGGCAGGCGCUGGAGUGGGUCGCAGGGAUCAGCAGUGGUGGUUGGACCGGCUACGCGCCGUCGGUGAAGGGCCGGGCGACGAUCUCCAGGGACAACGGGCAGAGCUCGGUGACGCUGACCAUGAACGGCCUCAAGGACGAGGAUUCCGUUAUUUAUAAAUGUAGUAAAAGUUAUUAUUAUUAUAUUGCUGUUACAUUCAAUAAUAAUGAUUUAUGA